GAUGAACGCUGGCGGCGUGCCUAAUACAUGCAAGUCGAGCGAACGGACGAGAAGCUUGCUUCUCUGAUGUUAGCGGCGGACGGGUGAGUAACACGUGGAUAACCUACCUAUAAGACUGGGAUAACUUCGGGAAACCGGAGCUAAUACCGGAUAAUAUUUUGAACCGCAUGGCUCAAAAGUGAAAGACGGUCUUGCUGUCACUUAUAGAUGGAUCCGCGCUGCAUUAGCUAGUUGGUAAGGUAACGGCUUACCAAGGCAACGAUGCAUAGCCGACCUGAGAGGGUGAUCGGCCACACUGGAACUGAGACACGGUCCAGACUCCUACGGGAGGCAGCAGUAGGGAAUCUUCCGCAAUGGGCGAAAGCCUUACGGAGCAACGCCGCGUGAGUGAUGAAGGUCUUCGGAUCGUAAAACUCUGUUAUUAGGGAAGAACAUAUGUGUAAGUAACUGUGCACAUCUUGACGGUACCUAAUCAGAAAGCCACGGCUAACUACGUG
rnacentral:rRNA from 1 species